UACGUAGGGCGCGAGCGUUGUCCGGAAUUAUUGGGCGUAAAGGGCUUGUAGGUGGCUGGUUGCGUCUGUCGUGAAAGCUCAUGGCUUAACUGUGGGUUUGCGGUGGGUACGGGCUGGCUUGAGUGCAGUAGGGGAGGCUGGAAUUCCUGGUGUAGCGGUGGAAUGCGCAGAUAUCAGGAGGAAUACCGGUGGCGAAGGCGGGUCUCUGGGCUGUUACUGACACUGAGGAGCGAAAGCAUGGGGAGCGAAC
rnacentral:rRNA from 1 species